rnacentral:rRNA from 1 species
UACGUAGGGUGCGAGCGUUAAUCGGAAUUACUGGGCGUAAAGCGUGCGCAGGCGGUUAUGCAAGACAGAUGUGAAAUCCCCGGGCUCAACCUGGGAACUGCAUUUGUGACUGCAUGGCUGGAGUGCGGCAGAGGGGGAUGGAAUUCCGCGUGUAGCAGUGAAAUGCGUAGAUAUGCGGAGGAACACCGAUGGCGAAGGCAGUCCCCUGGGCCUGCACUGACGCUCAUGCACGAAAGCGUGGGGAGCAAACAGG